rnacentral:tRNA from 1 species
GUCACUGUAGCUCAGUGGCAGAGCACUUGCCUAGCAUGCAUGAGGCCCUGGGUUUGAACCUCAGCACUGGAA